rfam:Cucumis sativus cultivar 9930 chromosome 3, whole genome shotgun sequence.
GUUCCUUUGGGGACAUCCGAUAAAAUUGGAAUGAUACAUAGAAGAUUAGCAUGGCCUGUGCUAGGAUGAAACACAAAUCAAAAAAUGGUCAAAAGAAAAU